UGCCCACUGGCUCACCGGCCAGCGCAGUCGCGUCCGCUCCGUGACCUCCUCCACCGCGUCCCUGGCCCCGUGGCCAGCCUGUGCUGGCCUUGGCUCUGACCCGGGUGGUUGAAGGCGAGCUGGAGACCCCGAGGAGGUCCCGAGGAGAGGGCGGCAGGAGAAGGCGGAGGCGCGAGGACCCUCGGCUCCCGGAAGAAGGGACCCAGCGGCUGCUGAACGCAGUUUUGCGUUAGGGCCGGCACGUGAUAGCCCGGCCUCGCCGCCCUUCCGGCGGCCGAGCCGUGUUCACAGCGAGGAGAGAGUGGCCGUCUCAGCGAGCGGGGUCAGCCCAGCGGGACCAGAAUGAUAUCCUUGUUGGUGUUUCUCAAAGAUGAGGCCUGUUUCUGGGAGGAGAUGCAGAACCUGUAUUGUAUCAAGAGCUAAGGAACAUUUCUCUGGCGUUUCCACAGAAGAGAAUCCCUUGACAGAUGGACUUUUACCAUUAAAAAAAUUCCCAACACCCGGCAGCUGCUUUGCACCUAGUUUUAGGAUCAGGCUUAUGCUGCCUUCAUAAAGUGAAUUGAGAAGGAGAGUUUUAGGUUAAUAGAAAAGUUGCAAGGAUAUAACAGUUCAGCAGCUAUGAAGAGACACUAGCCGGCCACCCGUGCAGCGUUCCUUUGUGGCAGACAAUGGCACUUGGGAAAUGCCACACGCAUUAGAAGCAGACACGGAUUGUCUGAGGAGCCUGUGCAAUGGAAACUCCAACUGAAAUCGCACAGAAUCACGAACAUUCUACUUCAAGGGGCUGGAAGAGGGGGGAGGAAGAAAAAGCCUGAGUAUCAUUUUCCGACAGGCCCGGGCUGCUAUAAAUACGCGCACGGCCGCAGAGACAGCAUGGGUGGGUGAGAGCUGUGUGGGUGCCUGGCGAGCUCUGCUUGGGCCAGCUCCCUGCCUCGUCUUUGGCAGAACUGAGUGCGGGAGGGUUGACUUCGUACAGGGGGGUCUGAGGUCCCUAUUUCCUUGUGCACCCCUGGUUUCUGGAAGGGAUGGUGGUCUCUGCUGAUUCAACAGCGGUGGGGGCUGUUCAUGUCGUGGAUGUGGGCUUAGUUGUGGACGUGGAUCUGGUUGGUUGGGGGGAUGCAGCGGGGCCUCCAGGACCUCAUCCUGUUUUGCUUUGCAGAAGCAUCAGAGGGCUGGGAAAGAAGCUGUGAAGUAUGCUGACUGCCACAGUGUAACACAUGAGGAAACAGAGGCAGCAAGAGAGAGAGUCACACAGAGAGAUAAAGGUUAUCAAGAAUUAUUUGGUUGUUUACAGGAGAAACCCACUGGGACAAGAUUGGGGUUAUGACAAGGCUAAGGCUGCAGGGUAGGAAGUAAAUAGGGCUUCAGAAGAGACUGGGACCAGGAUCUUAAACCUUUAGAAAUGGAGAUUUUUUCUCUUCUUCUUCUUUUUUUUAAAGUAUUUAUUUAUUUGGCUUCACCUGGUCUUAGCUGUGGCAUGUGGAAUCCAGUUCCCUGACCAGGGAUUGAACCCUGGGCCCCCUGCAUUGGGAUCUUGGAGUUUUAGCCACCGGACCACUAAGGAAGUCCCCAAACUGAGAUUUCUUAUUCUCAUUCUUCCUUUCUCUCUCGGGCCAGCCUCGGGCAGAGUCUUUUGUCCUUCCACCAGUUGAGGUCUCUGACUUGUAAGUGUGGAAGAAUAGAAAUGGCAGAGCCAGAGUAUACAAUUUGCAGGUGGCCUGCUGUGCAGUUUCUUGAGUGGAAGUGGCAGUGAUCUAAACUAUGAUGUGGACAAAGUUGUGUAAUGCACACCUGCACACUCAUGCAAAAUGGCCCUGGCAGUGCCCAGUUGGUACCAGAAUUCUAAAUGCAAAAUGUUGCUGAGAAUUCUCACUGCAGUCUAGGAAACCCAGGACCCCUACCAUCCUGGCCAGUAAAGGUUAAGAGCCAGGGCUCUGGGUCAGAGACUCUGGGUUUGAACUGAAACUCUGGGUUUGCCACUUCUCAGCAAUGGGGUUUUGGUCAAAUAAAAUACAGUAAGUGUUCAAGAAGUGUAAGCUAGUUCAUCAUUACUGUUCUUACUGCCAUAGUAAUCUCGUCCUCGUCUUUGACCUCACGUUUGUGGCUCUAGUUCUCCCUCCGGAUGAAAUGGCACAUUUCUGGCUCCAAGAUGCAUCUCUUGACCUUACUCCCCUUUCCACCUCAACUUGUCCUUAGUUAUUUGAUACAGGACAUAGGAAUUCCCUUUUCAUAAAACUCACCACCAACCUUCUCUAUAGUUGCUGUGCCUUUUCACUUCAGUUGCAUCCUACUCUUUGUGACCCAGUGGACAGUAGUCCACCAGGUUCCUCUGUCCAUGGAAUUUCCCAGGCAAGAAUACUGGAGUGGGUUGUCAUGUCCUCCUCCAGGGGAUCUUCCCGACUCAGGGAUCAAACCAUCUCUUAAUGUCUCUGGCUUUGAUAGGCAGGUUCUUUACUAGUAGCACCACCUGGGAAGCCCCUAUAGCUACCUAAUGUCUUUUUAUGGAAAAAUAUUUUAACAGCAUUUUUGAAUGAUAA